CCUACGGGUGGCAGCAGUGGGGAAUAUUGCACAAUGGGGGAAACACUGAUGCAGCGACGCCGCGUGAAGGAUGAAGUAUUUCGGUAUGUAAACUUCUAUCAGCAGGGAAGAAAAUGACGGUACCUGACUAAGAAGCACCGGCUAACUACGUGCCAGAAGCCGCGGUAAUACGUAGGGGGCAGGAGUUAUCCGGAUUUACUGGGUGUAAAGGGGGCGUAGACGGUAUGGAAAGUCUGAGGUCAAAACCCGGGGCUCAACCCCGGGACUGCCUUGGAAACUGCCGAACUAGAGUGUGGGAGAGGCAAGUGGAAUGCCCAGUGUAGCGGUGAAAUGCGUAGAUAUUGGGCAGAACACCAGUGGCGAAGGCGGCAUGCCGG
rnacentral:rRNA from 1 species